AUUUUGAUAUUGAGGAGAUCGAUACCCCGCAUGUGUAGGAGGCUAUCCUUAGGCAUAUGGGAAGAUUGCUUAAGAGAUUCAGAUGUGAAAUCUAUAGCCAUUGGAAGGAGGUCUUCAGUGCAUGUGGAUCGGGGGUGGGAUACAUGAGACACCCUAAGGAAUGUUUCACACCUUGACUGGAAUCUCCUCUGCAACAAGUACGAG
rnacentral:lncRNA from 1 species